rnacentral:tRNA from 1 species
ACUAAAAUAGCAAAGAGGAAAAUGCGCAAGAUUUAGGGUCUUUUACCAAAGGUUCAAACCCUUUUUUUAGUU